UACGAAGGGGGCUAGGCGUUGCUCGGAUUGGACUGGGCGUUAAAGGGGCGCGAGUAGGCGGUUCGUACAGUCAGACGUGAAAUUCCUGGGCUCAACCUGGGGGCUGCGUUUGAUACGUGCGGACUUGAGUGCGGAAGAGGGUCGUGGAAUUCCCAGUGUAGAGGUGAAAUUCGUAGAUAUUGGGAAGAACACCGGUGGCGAAGGCGGCGACCUGGUCCGAUACUGACGCUGAGGCGCGAAAGCGUGGGGAGCAAACAGG
rnacentral:rRNA from 1 species